UUUGUCCCAUAUCAAUCAAAAGAUGGGAUAAGAUGCCAGAAGAUAACACAAAAAGACAAUGAGAACUUAUUGAAGAAAAUUUUGAGUUUGAUUAUGCUGCUAGCGUCAAAUGGGCUCUGAGGACCUUAGGUGAUAGAUGGAAGGCCCAUAAGUAUAAUUUACGGGGAGAAUACUUCUUUCCUAACAAAAGAAAGGCAGAAAUUCUGGCUGCGAAUCCCUCAGACAUACCGCCUGUUGAAUGGACUGAUUUUGUGGAUCAUUAUAUGGAUCCUAAAACAAAGAAACAAUGUUUGCAAA